rnacentral:sRNA from 1 species
CUAAAGCUAACAACUUCAACAGGAAAAUCUUGCGGGCCAAAAAGGUUUCUCCUUUCUCUCUCUUUCUCCCCUUCAUAUUGUUAAACUAGUGUCUGUAUUGUCUUGUGUUGCAGAGAACCUGGAGCUGACCAAAAGUUUAAAGAAAUCAACAACGCAUAUGAGGUGUUAUCAGAUGAUGAGAAACGAUCCAUAUAUGACAGAUUUGGAGAGGCUGGACUUAAACGUUCUGGAAUGGGGACGGGGUAAGUUACCUUUGAUGAUGUAUGAUUUAAUUUUUUAUUCUCGUUUCUCAACGAAGGAUUUCUCUGUUAUGCCAAGAUUUCAGCAAUCUAUUUGAUCUGUUCGAAUCAUUGUUUGAAGGCAUGAAUCGCAGUGCAGGCUCCAGAGGUUCUUGUAACGAUGCAAUUGAUGGUGUCGUGGGCAAAACCUGUUUGCUUAUUUCCUA